GCCUUCUUAGCUCAGUGGUAGCAGCGCGACACUAGUAUUUCUCGCUUCGAAAGAUGCGCAUGUCGAGGUCAGCUGUUCGAAUCAGCUAGGAGGCA